rnacentral:snRNA from 1 species
AGACGUGAGGGCGCUCUGGCUGCAACAUUUGUCAUCCCAUUGAUCGCCAAGGUUGAUUCGGCUGAUCUGGCUGGCUAGGCGGGUGUCCCCUUCCUCCCUCACCGCUCCAAGUGCGUCCUUCCCGAAACUGUGCGCUUGGUCGAAGAGGACAGACUUCACCAAUAGAGACCUACCUGUCUUCGGUAGAGGGUAUACGAGUAGCUGCGCUCCCCUGCUAGAACCUCCAAACAAGCUCAAGAUGGGACCAACACUUAAUGUGUACACUUUUAGUAUGCAGGGUUUUUGUGCUUUAAAAAAACAAAAAAGAAGAAAUAAACUUCAAUUU